rnacentral:rRNA from 1 species
AUUGAACGCUGGCGGCAGGCCUAACACAUGCAAGUCGAACGGGAUGGCGGGCGGGUGAGUAAUGUCUGGGAAACUGCCCGAUGGAGGGGGAUAACGUCCGGAAACGGGCGCUAAUACCGCAUACUAUCAGAUGAGCCUAGGUCGGAUUAGCUAGUUGGUGGGGUAAAGGCCUACCAAGGCGACGAUCCGUAACUGGUCUGAGAGGAUGAUCAGUCACACUGGAACUGAGACACGGUCCAGACUCCUACGGGAGGCAGCAGUGGGGAAUAUUGGACAAUGGGCGAAAGCCUGAUCCAGCCAUGCCGCGUGUGUGAAGAAGGUCUUCGGAUUGUAAAGCACUUUAAGUUGGGAGGCGUUACCAACAGAAUAAGCACCGGCUAACUUCGUGCCAGCAGCCGCGGUAAUUC